UGUCCUCUGAUCAUGUCAAUUCUGCGAAGACUGACUUUGGCAGUCAGUCAUUCACAAUUUUAUUUUUAAAGCUAUUCACAUUCCUGGUCACUGCAAUAUGAUUCACAUUCCUGGUCACUGCAAUAUGAUAGCUGAUGCACUUUCUCGUUUUCGUUUUUCAGGUGUUCAGACGUCUAUGCCCAUCAGCCGAGCAGGAUCCUACUCCCUGCCCAAACCUUUCAGAAAUUCUGCUAAAUUAGAUCCCUCCUUUGACGAUCUUCUCAAUUCGGCCAGACAUUAUAUCACUAAAGGCGUUGCUCCAUCUACCCUGAAAGCUUAUACAUCGGCUUGGUCUCUGUUCGUGACUUUUUGUCUCUCAUUUAGGAAACCAGUUUUUCCUAUCCUUAUUACAACCGUCUGCUCGUUUCUAGUUUACAACUUCGAAACAAGAAAUUUAAAGAUAUCCUCUAUCAGGAAACUGCUCGCAAGCAUUCAGUUUUUUGCCAGAUAUCAUAACCCCGAUUAUCCAAGUCUUUUUAACGUCCCAGCCGUGCGGUUGCUCCUUAAAGGCAUAACAAAAUCAUCGGCCAAAACCCAUGAUAAACGCUUACCCAUUACUUUCUCGGUCUUACAACAGCUAAUAACGUCACUACGCAACGGUUCAUUUUCUAAUUACAUUAACGUCCUCCUAGAAGCUUUGUUCCUAACAGCUUUCUAUGGUUUCAUGCGUCCAGGGGAAUUCACGUCCGAAUCGAAGCAUUUCGAAUCCUCACGAGAUCUGUCUCUUUCAGACGUUCGCUUUUCACCUAAUUUCUUUACUAUUUUCCUUAAGCACUCUAAGAACGACUCUAUGGGAUCAGGAGUAUCUCUGUCGCUAUAUAAAAAUGAUAACCAGUUUUGCCCUUACUCCUCCAUGAUUAAAUACCUAAAAAUUCGUCUCCGCACUUCUCUCCAAUCUCCUCUAUUUAUUCUACCUAACGGCGCUCCCAUAACUAAGGUCUGGUUCAGCUCUCAUUUAGCUACGGUUUUAAAAAACUGCGGCCUGUCUCCACUUCAAUACACCGGACAUUCCUUUAGGAUUGGCGCGGCCACUACUGCUGCUGAGCACGGAAUUCCAACAUCAACAAUCAAGUUACUGGGAAGAUGGUCGUCCUCAGCAUUCGAGUCCUACAUUAGACCCGAACAGAAAUUCAUCUCGAAGGCUCAGCAAAUAAUUUCAAGACGUUCUCAAGGAUCCUCUAAGAAAUACUUCAUUUAGGUGCGUAUUACAUUUCUCUUACUUUCUUUUGGGGUAGGCUCCGCCCUGCCUUCGUCUUCGGCAGGAUUAGCUGGUAUCCACAAUCUUCAGAUCCACGCUACGGAUGGGGCCUACGCCAAAUUAAUUCUGUUUUAUUUUGUAAAUAAAUACUUCAGUCUUAUCUACACCUCCUGAGUCUUUCUGGUAGAAAUGGAAGCGUAAGCGUAAGUUCUACUAGGAAGACUAAAUGACACGUCACAUUCUAAUUAAGGUCUAAACCAAUCGGAUCUCAACACGAGGUAUAUAAAAACGCACUACUUGCAUCUCAUUGUGUCUGCAGAUACUGCCGCUGACGUUCCCCUCCAUCCUCCCCACCACCACCAGGUCGGCCCUGUCUAUGCGGGGGGUAGGCUCCGCCCUGCCUUCGUCUUCGGCAGGAUUAGCUGGUAUCCACAAUCUUCAGAUCCACGCUACGGAUGGGGCCUACGCCAAAUUAAUUCUGUUUUGUUUUGUAAAUAAAUACUUCAGUCUUAUCUACACCUCCUGAGUCUUUCUGGUAGAACUAUGACUUCUGGAAGCACCUCUUUUAGGAGCUUAGAUGGAAUAGGGUCUAACAUACCAUGUUGUUGGUUUAGAUGAUUUGGUAUAUAAAAACGCACUACUUGCAUCUCAUUGUGUCUGCAGAUACUGCCGCUGACGUUCCCCUCCAUCCUCCCCACCACCACCAGGUCGGCCCUGUCCAUGCGGGGGGUAGGCUCUGCCCUGCCUUCGUCUUCGGCAGGAUUAGCUGGUAUCUACAAUCUUCAGAUCCACGCUACGGAUGGGGCCUACGCCAAAUUAAUUCUGUUUUGUUUUGUAAAUAAAUACUUCAGUCUUAUCUACACCUCCUGAGUCUUUCUGGUAGAACUCCUUUUCUCUUGUGUGUGUCUGUGUGAAGUGUAAGAUAAUUAUACUGUACACUAUUAUUCUGAACCGUAGUUUAUUACUGAUGUACUGCAGUUUAAUAGCAUUUGACUAUUUCACCAUUUUUUAUUGUGAAGCACAGCAGCUCAUCAUAGUAAAACAUGGUGAAACAUGGUGAAAUGAUCCAUCCUUCUAAUAUUUAUUUUUACUGUAUAUGUGGGAAAAGAUAAAUUAUUUUCUGUAUUCUCUCAUAACUGGUGAGAUUGUCAGCACUGCAGAAAUAUGUUCAUCAUCAGAACCAGUCUAACCAGGACCAUUUCAGGAAAACAAAUGACUCUGUUUAGAGCUGAAGGGGUUUACAGAAAGCACCUUUGUGUCUCUGAUCAUGAAAGGAUUACUUUAGAUGAAC
rnacentral:lncRNA from 1 species